CCUACGGGGAGCUGCAGUGAGGAAUAUUGGUCAAUGGACGAGAGUCUGAACCAGCCAAGUAGCGUGCAGGAUGACUGCCCUAUGGGUUGUAAACUUCUUUUAUAUGGGAAUAAAAUGUUCCACGUGUGGGAUUUUGUAUGUACCAUAUGAAUAAGGAUCGGCUAACUCCGUGCCAGCAGCCGCGGUAAUACGGAGGAUCCGAGCGUUAUCCGGAUUUAUUGGGUUUAAAGGGAGCGUAGGUGGAUUGGUAAGUCGGUUGUGAAAGUUUGCGGCUCAACCGUAAAAUUGCAGUUGAAACUGGCAGUCUUGAGUACAGUAGAGGUGGGCGGAAUUCGUGGUGUAGCGGUGAAAUGCUUAGAUAUCACGAAGAACCCCGAUUGCGAAGGCAGUUCACUGGACUGCAACUGACACUGAGGCUCGAAAGUGUGGGUAUCAAACAGGAUUAGAUACCCCUGUAGUC
rnacentral:rRNA from 1 species